rnacentral:rRNA from 1 species
GACGAACGCUGGCGGCGUGCUUAACACAUGCAAGUCGAGCGGAAAGGCCCUUCGGGGUACUCGAGCGGCGAACGGGUGAGUAACACGUGAGUAAUCUGCCCCUCACUCAGGGAUAACCGCGGGAAGCUGCGGCUAAUACUUGAUAUGACCACGUCUCGCAUGGGGUGUGGUGGAAAGCGUUUAGUGGUGAGGGAUGUGCUCGCGGCCUAUCAGCUUGUUGGUGAGGUAGUGGCUCACCAAGGCUUCGACGGGUAGCCGGCCUGAGAGGGUGACCGGCCACACGGGGACUGAGACACGGCCCAGACUCCAACGGGAGGCAGCAGUGGGGAAUAUUGGACAAGGGGCGAAAGCCUGAUCCAGCAACGCCGCGUGAGGGAUGACGGCCUUCGGGUUGUAAACCUCUUUCACCUCUGACGAAGCGCAAGUGACGGUAAGGGGAGAAGAAGGACCGGCCAACUACGUGCCAGCCGCCGCCGUAAGAC